ensembl:lncRNA
UCUCUGCCUGGAGAUUCUGCCUUCUGGAGAAUUUGGUGGGCCCUGCUCUUUGGGAUGGCCUCCUAACACAUCACCAAAGGCUGAAGGAGAUGUGAUGCCUCAGAACAGCUGGCUCUGCCCACGGAUUUGGCAGUCGCUGCUCCUCCUGGAGCCCAGGAGACCCGAGAGAAGUGCUGGAGGUACAGCUGGAAGCCCGACACAAAGCUGUGCUCUGCUACUGAUCCUUGCAGCAGAAUCUCUGUGCUGUUUUCAGCCUGAGUGGUGGGAGAGGAAGGCUGCUGACGAAUGAAUGAAUUAUAUUGUGGUUUUCUGUGCCACGAAGAGCAAGAUCUGUAUCAUGGAAUACUUACACUUCCUCCUUCAUGAGACUAUCUGGACAAGUACUUCCAUCCUGCCCUGUACUGUUCUAAUAUAUGCUGAUUACUUUACAGAAGAGAGGAAGUGCCACAGUAAUCAUAAGGAGAUAAAGCUCCAGUCAAACAUCUUUCUUCACUUUCAGUGCUACCCUGACACCUUAGGGACCCGUUUUGUAGGCGCGAACCCAUUUGUCAGACUCCUGGCUAACACCUCUGCACAGCCAGAUGUGCUCAGCUUGUUGGCUUGCUGUCCUGUGGCUUCUGACCCUAAUCCCUGCCGCAUCACUUGGGAAAGAAUGCCUUCCCCCUUCACCUUUUGCCCAGUCAUCUUGCUUCCAGCCUGCUUUGUGGCACCUUCUUCAGCAGCAUGUGAUUCCUGGAAGUCCCUAGUCAUUCGUUAUGAUGGUUGAGAUGAUGUUGUUGGCCGGAUCCUGGCUUUGGAAUUCAGUGGUAAACAUUCUCACAAAACACUUACUGUCUGUCACAAUAAUUUGCUAAUCUGUUUAUAGCUGGGAUUCUUACAAAAUGAAAUCAGUCCCCCGCACUGCCUCUUCAUCUAAAUGUCUCCAAGAAACAGAAUUGGUGCC